UACGUAGGGUGCAAGCGUUGUCCGGAUUUAUUGGGUUUAAAGGGUGCGUAGGCGGCUUUAUAAGUCAGCGUUGAAAUAUGGCAGCUUAACUGUCAGACUGGCAUUGAUACUGUAGAGCUUGAGUGAAGUCGAGGUUGGCGGAAUUGACGGUGUAGCGGUGAAAUGCAUAGAUACCUUCUAGAACCCCGAUUGCGUAGGCAGCUGACUAGGCUACACCUGACACUGAGGCACGAAAGCGUGGGGAGCGAACAGG
rnacentral:rRNA from 1 species